AGUGAACGCUGGCGGUAGGCCUAACACAUGCAAGUCGAACGGCAGCACAGGAGAGCUUGCUCUCUGGGUGGCGAGUGCCGGACGGGUGAGGAAUACAUCGGAAUCUACUCUGUCGUGGGGGAUAACGUAGGGAAACUUACGCUAAUACCGCAUACGACCUACGGGUGAAAGCAGGGGAUCUUCGGACCUUGCGCGAUUGAAUGAGCCGAUGUCGGAUUAGCUAGUUGGCGGGGUAAAGGCCCACCAAGGCGACGAUCCGUAGCUGGUCUGAGAGGAGGAUAAGACAAACUGGAACUAGGUCGCGGUCCAGAAUCCUACGGGAGGCGGCAGUGGGGAAUAUUGGACAAUGGGCGCAAGCCUGAUCCAGCCAUACCGCGUGGGUGAAGAAGGCCUUCGGGUUGUAAAGCCCUUUUGUUGGGAAAGAAAUCCAGCUGGCUAAUACCCGGUUGGGAUGACGGUACCCAAAGAAUAAGCACCGGCUAACUUCGUGCCAGCCGCCGCCGUAA
rnacentral:rRNA from 1 species